UAGUCAUAUGCUUGUCUCAAAGAUUUAACCAUGCAUGUCUAAGUAUAAACAAUUCUAUACUGUGAAACUGCGAAUGGCUCAUUAAAUCAGUUAUAGUUUAUUUGAUAAUAUCUACUACUCGGAUAACCGUGGUAAUUCUAGAGCUAAUACGUGCGUAAAAACCCGACUUACGAAGGGUUGUAUUUAUUAGAUACAAAACCAAUGCAGGGUAACCUGGUUUAAAGGUGAUUCAUAAUAACUUCUCGGAUCGCAUGGCUCACGCCGGCGACGUUUCAUUCAAAUUUCUGCCCUAUCAACUUUCGAUGGUAAGGUAUUGGCUUACCAUGGUUACAACGGGUAACGGAGAAUUAGGGUUCGAUUCCGGAGAGGGAGCCUGAGAAACGGCUACCACUUCUACGGAGGGCAGCAGGCGCGCAAAUUACCCAAUCCUGACUCAGGGAGGUGGUGAGGAGUAAUAACGAUACGUGACUUAGGUCUAGUAAUUGGAAUGAGUUUAAUUUAAACCCCUUAAUGAAUACCUUUGA
rnacentral:rRNA from 1 species